rnacentral:rRNA from 1 species
GAUGAACGCUGGCGGCGUGCCUAAUACAUGCAAGUCGAGCGAACGGACGAGAAGCUUGCUUCUCUGAUGUUAGCGGCGGACGGGUGAGUAACACGUGGAUAACCUACCUAUAAGACUGGGAUAACUUCGGGAAACCGGAGCUAAUACCGGAUAAUAUUUUGAACCGCAUGGUUCAAAAGUGAAAGACGGUCUUGCUGUCACUUAUAGAUGGAUCCGCGCUGCAUUAGCUAGUUGGUAAGGUAACGGCUUACCAAGGCAACGAUGCAUAGCCGACCUGAGAGGGUGAUCGGCCACACUGGAACUGAGACACGGUCCAGACUCCUACGGGAGGCAGCAGUAGGAAAUCUUCCGCAAUGGGCGAAAGCCUGACGGAGCAACGCCGCGUGAGUGAUGAAGGUCUUCGGAUCGUAAAACUCUGUUAUUAGGGAAGAACAUAUGUGUAAGUAACUGUGCACAUCUUGACGGUACCUAAUCAGAAAGCCACGGCUAACUACGU